GAUGAACGCUGGCGGCGUGCCUAAUACAUGCAAGUCGAGCGAACAGACGAGGAGCUUGCUCCUCUGACGUUAGCGGCGGACGGGUGAGUAACACGUGGAUAACCUACCUAUAAGACUGGGAUAACUUCGGGAAACCGGAGCUAAUACCGGAUAAUAUAUUGAACCGCAUGGUUCAAUAGUGAAAGACGGAUUUGCUGUCACUAAUAGAUGGAUCCGCGCCGCAUUAGCUAGUUGGUAAGGUAACGGCUUACCAAGGCAACGAUGCGUAGCCGACCUGAGAGGGUGAUCGGCCACACUGGAACUGAGACACGGUCCAGACUCCUACGGGAGGCAGCAGUAGGGAAUCUUCCGCAAUGGGCGAAAGCCUGACGGAGCAACGCCGCGUGAGUGAUGAAGGUCUUCGGAUCGUAAAACUCUGUUAUUAGGGAAGAACAAAUGUGUAAGUAACUAUGCACGUCUUGACGGUACCUAAUCAGAAAGCCACGGCUAACUACGUG
rnacentral:rRNA from 1 species